rnacentral:rRNA from 1 species
AGUGAACGCUGGCGGUAGGCCUAACACAUGCAAGUCGAACGGCAGCACAGUAAGAGCUUGCUCUUACGGGUGGCGAGUGGCGGACGGGUGAGGAAUACAUCGGAAUCUACUUUUUCGUGGGGGAUAACGUAGGGAAACUUACGCUAAUACCGCAUACGACCUACGGGUGAAAGCAGUGGAUCUUCGGACCUUGCGCGAUUGAAUGAGCCGAUGUCGGAUUAGCUAGUUGGCGGGGUAAAGGCCCACCAAGGCGACGAUCCGUAGCUGUCUGAGAGGAUGAUCAGCCACACUGGAACUGAGACACGGUCCAGACUCCUACGGGAGGCAGCAGUGGGGAAUAUUGGACAAUGGGCGCAAGCCUGAUCCAGCCAUACCGCGUGGGUGAAGAAGGCCUUCGGGUUGUAAAGCCCUUUUGUUGGGAAAGAAAAGCAGCAGGUUAAUACCCCGCUGUUCUGACGGUACCCAAAGAAUAAGCACCGGCUAACUUCGUG